AAACAGUUUACCUGGGACAAACAAUUCUCUGCUCAACACCCGUAGCAACAUGUAACGUCACCGAACCGAAAUCGAGGCUAUAUUGCUUGGCAAGCAAUUUAGCGUUGGCGCCAGAUUACCAGAUUUACGGAUUUCAAUUCGACAUUUCUUGGUAACUAGCAGUGAUA